rnacentral:lncRNA from 1 species
UGAUCGGGAGUUGGGAUUGAGUGGCUUCCAUCAAGAUCAGCAAAAUUGAAAGAAGGGAGCAGAGAGAGAAGAGAAAUAGAAGGGACGAAAGGGGAAGAUAUGUGAGCCGUGGAAAGAAGAGAGAAGAAAGAAAAGACCAUCAAGAUCAACAAAAGCGAAAGAAAAGAGCAGAGAGAAAAGAGGAAUAGAAGAGACGAAAGCAGAAGAUCUAUCCCUUUGUUUUCUACUUUGACAUCUGGGUAGCCAACUGCAACAGUUUCAAGACAUGGAGAAAGAUAACGAAAAUAGAAAUCUGUGGUCCUUGCAACAGUGAGAAUUUGGUUUGGUCAAAGCAGGUUUGGGAUAAGCAAAUUAUAAUUUGA